rnacentral:tRNA from 1 species
GGAGAUGUAGUUCAAUAGUAGAGUGUGUGCUUAGCAAGCACAAGGUCCUGGAUUCAAUCCACAGCACCA